UUUUUUUUUUCCUGGAUGCAUGUAUCCUCUGCUCAUCACCAGGGUACCUGGGCACCCCAAAGGCCUGUAGCAGCGAUAAAAGCCAGGCCGGCCAAAUAUUGAGACAUUCAGAAGCUGAUCAGGAUGAUGUGAAUGUUGAACCUGACUGUUUCAUUAGCUACUUAGCAAUUGUAUGAGAGCUGUUUUUGCAGAAGGACAAUCGUUAUAGAGGAUUACAGCUCAUUUUACAGGUUGCUGCAGUGUGCUUCAGACCUGUGAGAGCAGCCUCAAGCUUCCUUUGAAAGAGGGUAGAAAUAAAGAACUUGGAAGAUUUAGGUUGGUGAAAAUCUUCCAAUUCAAACAGGUUUGUUUCUUUGCCUCCGCGAUGAGUCUGACUGAAAUCCAAAUGAAAUCAGAGGAUAAGGUAAACGGU
rnacentral:lncRNA from 1 species